GUCAGAUAUUGCCAACAGAAACGUAGUAAAUGUUGAUGAGAGUAUUGGAACUGGUCUUUCGCAGCCGUUGGGUUCUCUAAGUAACAGAAUUCUAAUGCAGCAAGUUACAAAAAGUAAUGAGAGGACAGGUUCACCUGAAUCUAAUAAUGUUGGUGAGGGUGCAGUUGGUGGAAGAGUUUUUUCACCUUCAGUUACUGGAGUCCAAUGGAGG
rnacentral:misc_RNA from 1 species